UGUCUGAGGAGUUUUAUUUGUUUUUCACAUCUUCAUAGCAUGUAUUUGAUUAGAACACUUAGAUUAAGCAAAAAUUGAGUGUAUAUGUGACAAGCAUUUGUAAAGUUCCACUUUAGCAUACAUUAUCAUUGAAUCCCCAUCAAGCCCUGGGAAAUAUAUUGAGGGCCCCCAUUUUACCAAUGAAGAAAUCAAGGCCCCAAGAAGAUACUUGACUUGUCUGGCCUCAUCUGCCGCAAAGCCAGGCCUUCUGUUUUCACCCCCUAUGCACAGGGGCGUCCUCACAGAGCUGAGCUUCAGGAAGGUGAUUCUCACGGUGCUAGAUGUGGAGUCCUAAUUAAGGAACAGGAGUCAGGCUGGCAGGACCAAGGGAAAGCAAAAAGAAAGCGGAUAAGCCAUGAGUCUGCCACCGGACCCGGCCCGUCUGCUGUGUUUCCAAACAGGCUUGUUCCCUUCCAGGUCUUCACUUUAGGAGGCAUUCGUCUUUUUUAACCAAGAGGCAGUUUCAUGAGGCGGUUGAACAUAUAGACUCUUCUGUUAUACCAUCUGGGUUCAAAUCUGAGCUUUACCCCUUCCUACCUGUGUGAUCUUAGGCCUGUUUUUAGCUACUCUGGGCCCAACAGGGAUAAUUUUACCUACACCAUAGGGUUGCCUGGCACCUAGAACUAUACCAGGAAAUAGCAAGUGUCAGGUUUUAUCCAGCAGCCCGUGCUUCCUAAAAACAUUCCUAAACACUCUGUGUUUGGAGGCAAUUUUAUGACUCACAAAGGAAAACUGCCCCAUUCUUGGUCAUAUCUAUCCUUUCUUAUCCCAGAUGAUCUUACCCAACCUGAUGGCCCUUCCACCCAAUAAACUUGGUUCUGAGUGACUGCUGUUUCCCAGACUCCAGGCCUCAUGCAGAGGUAACAGGUUGCCGGCACUGGGCAUAUUCAAUGACGUGACUGUUCCCAGAAUGCUGUCAGCUGGCCUCAAGUGAUCCACCUGCCUCAGCUCCCAAAGUGCUGGGAUUAUAGGCUGAGGCAGGAGGAUUGCUUGAGCCCAGAAAUUUUGAGACCAUCCUGGGCAACACAGUGAGACCCUGCCUCUACAAAACAGUUUUUAAAAAAUAAGCC
rnacentral:lncRNA from 1 species